UGAACACAUGAUUUGUCAUGAUAUUUUUUUCUUUAUUUUCUUAAGUUUACAUGAUUUUUUGUUUAAAAAGUGUUCUACAACAGAUAUGCCAAUAAAAUAAUUAUGUACAACUCUCUACAGAUUUGAAUAAUAUAUGUUAAAACCUAUCACAAUGGCUUGAAAGACAGGAAAAGGAUUUGGACGGAUUCAACAGAAAUGAGUUACAGAAAGGAAAGUGUUACAUCGUACCUGUAAUUUGAAAUGUGCCAUUUUUGAUGGAUGUGAUUUCCACACACCUUUAUUGACAGGACUUUAGUACAAAUAUUAUCUAUGUAAAUUUGAUAAAACUAUGAUCCUGGUCCUGAGCAAGGUCAAUUGAGAUGACAUGUCAAAGUUUAAGGUUAUUCCAGUAAAUUCACAAUCCCACAGGAGAAUUUCAAAAAUAAAAACAAUUCUAUGUAGGGUGGGUGUUGGAGUACAUGGAAAUUCUAUGUAGGGUGGGUGUUGGAGUACAUGGAAAUUCUCUGCAGGGUGGGUGUUGGAGUACAUGGAAUAUUAAUAAGCUUACCCAGUCUAUUUUGUUCUAACCAAACAAACUUGAUUUUUCCUUAUUAGCUGGCAUUGCCCCUGGCUCUACUGAUAUAUAAAAUAUGUCUGGAGAUCUACGCUACUUCAGCUGGGGAGAACUCAGCUGCAUGAGUAUCGAAAUCCACGGUGGUGAUAUUUACUAGAAUAACCAUAAUACAUGUAGUAGAAAUUCUGCACAAAAUUGAUAAUAAUCAUAAAACUAUAUCUGAACUUCAUUUACACAUUAAAUAAAAGACUGAUUAAAAAAUAAACAAAUAUAUGAAAGUCAAUUACUGACAUGGUGUAAUGUGGGUACCCAUUGUACACACUCCAAAGUCAUCACUCAACACAAUAUCACUGAUAUGACCUAAUGACCUUAAAAUAUCAGAAUAAUGUUAACAACUGACCACAGUACAAUACAAGGUAGAUGGAAUACCUUUCAAUACUUUUUCAUAUUAUGUAUUCAAAUCACCAUCUGAUACUACUGGAUCAUCAAAAAGGACUAAUAAUCUAUGCUAUCUACCUAACUAGCCAACAGUUUAACAUUCUAGCCAUCACAAAUAAAUAAGAUUAAUCAAUAAUGUCAAAUUUUAAAUACAUAUAUAAAAUUGUUGUAAAUUAUCAAGAUUAACAGUUAAGAGAUUCUGUUAGUAGUAUUGUGGCAGAUAUUACCAAAUAAACACAUGAACACACUUAAUUUAUCUUACGAUGGUAAUUUGAUGUCAUGUAUAUAUCCUUUGUGGUGAUUACAGAUAUCAACAAAGGGAAACGCAUCAGAGAUGCCACUGGCAUAGUUAAAGACCUCUACGACAGGUAACACAAAGAUUACCUCUACGACAGGUAACACAAAGAUUACCUCACCGACAGGUAACACAAAGAUUACCUCACCGACAGGUAACACAAAGAUUACCUCUACGACAGGUAACACAAAGAUUACCUCUACGACAGGUAACACAAAGAUUACCUCUAGGACAGGUAACACAAAGAUUACCUCACCGACAGGUAACACAAAGAUUACCUCACCGACAGGUAACACAAAGAUUACCUCUACGACAGGUAACACAAAGAUUACCUCACCGACAGGUAACACAAAGAUUUACCUCUACGACAGGUAACACAAAGAUUACUUAUCUCACCCAAGAAGACCAAUUGUUUAUAAGAUUAGUAGUGGUUCCUGGAUUCUGUAUACUCAUUACUUCUUGUAAGCAGUUAAUAUUACUUGUUGUAUACCGACUACAGUGAAUCAGAUUCUGCUGUCGUACGAGAAGAUGUCUAUAUUAAACACUGAACUGUCACUUUGGUAAUCACAGUCAGUAUAAACCAAAGAGCUUUUCCUGCAAACAUUGUAUUGCCUGCUAGCGCAAUAUGAUAUGUUUGCCCACAAAAAAUCUGUCGUUAAUAUACUGACAUCACAGCAAGGCCGAGUCAAUUCUUCUAUUUCAAUUUACUACAACUUUUGCUGUCUUAUCUUAAUUCUGAUUAUAUUAGAUUAAGUAAUAUAAUUUAUUCGUUCAACGUCUUCCCUAGAUGCAUAAUUAUUGCGUCUUAACAGGCACAAGCUGAAUGUUAUUUACAACCAUUUAAAUCAUUCUCCUUCCUAGUUAGUGUAUAACGUAGUAGCCAUGUAAAUGUUAAUAUGUAGAAAUAUUUUCAUGUGAUGAUGAAUUCACACAGACUUAAUUAAUCUGAACAACAUCCCCACCCUCCCCUGAAAAAUUAAAACAUCACAUCAAUUUCUUUGUAUUAUCUAAAAAAACAUUUGGCACAAAAGUGUCAAAUAUGUGUUUUAUAUGUUUACCAGUGUUAUCUGAUAUAUAGUUUUAGACCUGAAUAACAAAACUCAACAAUACUUUCCCUCGUAUCAAGCCUGGACAAAAUCUGUCUAGGUGACAGGGGAGACUACUCCUUGAGGCCACGGAACCACAAAAAGUCAAUAGUGUUACUGAAGGGAUCUCACUGUUAACCAACACGGCUAUCACAAUUCUAGUUACAGACGAAAUACAGCAUCAAUACACAUAUCAUACUGAAUUGAUGGAAUAUCAUACAUCAUUUGUUCACCUCCCUCUCGUAACAUAUCUGUAUAUAUACAUUAAAUGUACAUAGUACAUAAGUCUGUUAUUGACUAGGCUGACAGCAAACAAAAAAUAAUCAUUUAAAAAAACUUUUCUUACUCAGCAGCUGAAGUCAGGUUUUUAUCUUACAAUCAAGUCUAUCAUUAAUUAGGCAGACGGCAGAUAAUAAAAUGAAUUAUAUUUUUUGAAAACUUCAACUGAAAAUCUCUGUUUACUCCAUGAAUAUCUGCACUGGAAAGAGAUAAAAAUGGAUUACAACAAAGCAAAACACAAAAAAAAAAAAAUCAAAAUAAGAUAACUACACAUUAUCUUCAUUUAUCAUUCAGUAAUUAAAUUAUUGCAUAUAUAAUCAUCCUUGAAAUUCCAGGGGUUACAUUCACAUAAAAUCCCCGAUAGGACAUAAUUAUAGAGAAUGUAGCCAUUUAGUUGUGAAGGUGAUACAUAACACACAUAAAGUUUUUGAAUUAAAAAAAAUACAGAUUUAUUGAGAGAAAAAAAAAAAAUCUUUGUCCAAUACUGAAAUAUGUUUAAAAGUAAAUUACAAAAAAUAAUGCAUUAGAAAAUCUAUACAUACAUGUACCUAUAAAUCAUUCCUUUUUGUCUUUUUAUUUCAAAGCAGCAAAUUUUUACAAAUUACAAUUUAACAUUUUUUUUCAACCUUCAUAAAAGAGCUAAUUCAAUAUAAAUUGAGAUAAAUAAAAACCUUUUCUCCAAAACUAUUUCUGUCAACACAGAAAUUAUCCAGUGCUAUUUCUGUCAAAAGAUAAAUUAUCAAGUGCUAUUUCUAUCAGUACAGAAAUUACCCAGUAUUAUUUAAAUACUUGAUAAUUCAUGUUAUAAAGAUAUAAUUAAAUGUUAAGCCUGUACCACUUUGUAUGGGAAGUUUUAAGCAAAUUUCAAAAUUUACUUAUAUAUAUUUAUUUUCCAAAAACUACAAACUUCAUAUUGAUAAAGUUGUAGUAUUGAAGCAUCCUAUGUAUGUUAGAGACCUGUAAAUAUUGAUACAUUGAAAAACGAAGCAAAUUUUCAAAUAUCACUAAUUCUCCCGGCGAGACCUCCUAUGGUAUACAGUUACUGGUGUCUACCAGAGGGUAUUAAUGAUCCACACUAAACAAUACACAUUUAUUUACACCUCAUACACGCUCAUGUACAAAUCAUAUUUACUGCUUUUAUAUCUAUUGAAAUAAGUUACAUAAUUUGGCACUACAUGUUUUGAAAAAAAAAAAACAAAAAAAAAUAUUGUUCUCCUGCAUAAAACCACAAAAUAUUUAGUUUUUAUUAAAAAAAUAUGUUAUCAUCCAAUUUGUGAUUUCAUUUGUCCAUUAUAUAAAGUGUACGUCAUUCAGCAGGGAAACAAGGGGAAUAUACAGGAGGAAUCAAGAGUGGAUUAAAAUAAAGUGUCUAAAACAUAAAUAUCAAUAAACACGUGCUGUUAACUAGUCUCAUGUUUAUCACAUCGUCAAAUUCUUUUUAUCAUUGGGCUAUGAAAAUUACUUCAAGUU